rnacentral:rRNA from 1 species
UGAGGAAUAUUGGACAAUGGGGGAAACCCUGAUCCAGCCAUGCCGCGUGAGUGAUGAAGGCCUUAGGGUUGUAAAACUCUUUCGCUAGGGAAGAUAAUGACGGUACCUAGUAAAGAAGCCCCGGCUAAUUUCGUGCCAGCAGCCGCGGUAAUACGAAAGGGGCUAGCGUUGUUCGGAAUUACUGGGCGUAAAGCGCGCGUAGGCGGACCAUCAAGUUGGGGGUGAAAUCCCAGGGCUCAACCCUGGAACUGCCUCCAAAACUGUUGGUCUAGAGGAUGUGAGAGGAUAGUGGAAUUCCGAGUGUAGAGGUGAAAUUCGUAGAUAUUCGGAAGAACACCAGUGGCGAAGGCGACUGUCUGGCACAUUUCUGACGCUGAGGUGCGAAAGCGUGGGGAGCAAACAGGAUUAGAUACCCCCGUAGUCC